GGCUCCAUGCAGGGAGACCGAUGUGGGACUCGAUCCCAGGACUCCAGGAUCACGACCUGAGCUGAAGACAGGCACUUAACUGCUGAGCCACCCAGGCGUCCCAAAUGGAUAAAGAUAUUGAAGCUCAAAAGUUUAAGCAAAUUCUCGAGGACACACAGAAAUCAACAUUCCAGGAUGAUAUUGUAUUGUGUGCAUCCUGCAAUGCUCUAGAACCUUUGGCAUCAUCUGCCUGUCACCAGUCACCACUCCUCCUCCGUUUCAAAGGCAUAGGUGCCUGAGAAAGCAUGACCACAGUGCCUGGUGCUUGGACCCCAAUCCUUGCCAGAGCCCCUCAAGUAUUCUCGGGUGUACCCAGGAAGUUUCCCACGAAGCUCAUCGGAAGUUCACUGCCAAAAGCUCCUUAGAUCUCAUGAUGAUCUCCUAGAGGCAUCACCAAUUUGUCAGAUAUUCCAAAACAUGAACGAAUCCCACAGGUGAUACAGCUUAAGCUCAACAUGGGAUCAUGCUCCCCAUUCAUCUGAUUUCCUUGCCUGAAGUUCAGAUGCUAUUUUACCUGCAGAAGCUGACGGUUCUCAGUGAGCUCUGAUCUGAGUCACGACUGGUCCAGAGAAGCAAUCGUGUCUUCUGAAGCACAUUUCUAGCCCCCUUUCCACACCUGGUUUGUGAUGUAUGGGUGCUUGAUACUCCCCUGUAGGCAUUUUAGAUUUGGUGGGCUAUGGUGAAUACUCAAUUCCUUUGACAGUA